rnacentral:rRNA from 1 species
GUGGGGAAUAUUGGACAAUGGGGGGAACCCUGAUCCAGCCAUACCGCGUGUGUGAAGAAGGCCUUUUGGUUGUAAAGCACUUUAAGCGAGGAGGAGGCUACCGAGAUUAAUACUCUUGGAUAGUGGACGUUACUCGCAGAAUAAGCACCGGCUAACUCUGUGCCAGCAGCCGCGGUAAUACAGAGGGUGCAAGCGUUAAUCGGAUUUACUGGGCGUAAAGCGCGCGUAGGUGGCCAAUUAAGUCAAAUGUGAAAUCCCCGAGCUUAACUUGGGAAUUGCAUUCGAUACUGGUUGGCUAGAGUAUGGGAGAGGAUGGUAGAAUUCCAGGUGUAGCGGUGAAAUGCGUAGAGAUCUGGAGGAAUACCGAUGGCGAAGGCAGCCAUCUGGCCUAAUACUGACACUGAGGUGCGAAAGCAUGGGGAGCAAACAGGAUUAGAUACCCCUGUAGUCC